UUGGAUUUAAGUGAGAAUCUUAAAAGCCGAAUAUCUAAGGUUUCCAGGGUAAAGCUGAUCUUCCCUGGGUAAGUCGGGGCCUAAGGCGAGGGCGAGAGCCGUAGUCGAUGGAUAACAGGUUGAAAUUCCUGUACUGCUUAUGGACAGAACUGUGGGGACGCAGAAGGAGAGCACGAGCCGGAAAUGGAAAAGCCGGUACAAGCGUAUAGCAGUCAUGCAGGCAAAACCGCAUGAAAAAUGUAAAGCGUUAUGUGGAUCGAACAUUAGUAGAGAAGCGUGUGAGCCAGCUGCCAAGAAAAGCCGCUAUUGCUUCAUAAGUACCCGUACCGUAAACCGACACAGGUGGAUGAGGAGAGAAUCCUAAGGCCGGCGGGAGAAGUGUUGUUAAGGAACUCGGCAAAAUGACUCCGUAACUUCGGGAGAAGGAGUGCCACAGAGAUGUGGCCGCAGAGAAAUGGCCCAAGCAACUGUUUAGCAAAAACACAGGUCUAUGCAAAACCGAAAGGUGAGGUAUAUGGGCUGACGCCUGCCCGGUGCUGGAAGGUUAAGAGGAGAGGUUAGAGCAAUCGAAGCUUUGAAUUUAAGCCCCAGUAAACGGCGGCCGUAACAAUAACGGUCCUAAGGUAGCGAAAUUCCUUGUCGGGUAAGUUCCGACCCGCACGAAAGGCGUAAUGAUUUGGGCACUGUCUCAACAACACACCCGGUGAAAUUGAAAUACCAGUGAAGAUGCUGGUUACCUGCGCCAGGACGGAAAGACCCCAUGGAGCUUUACUCCAGUUUGAUACUGGGAUUCGGUACUGUCUGUACAGGAUAGGUGGGAGGCUAGGAAAUGGUGACGCCAGUUGCCAUGGAGCCAACCUUGGGAUACCACCCUUACAGUACUGGGUUUCUAACCUGCAGCCGUGACCCGGCUGGGGGACAAUGUCUGACGGGGAGUUUGACUGGGGCGGUCGCCUCCGAAAGAGUAUCGGAGGCGCUCAAAGGUUCCCUCAGAACGGUUGGAAACCGUUCGAAGAGUGCAAAGGCAGAAGGGAGCUUGACUGCGACACCGACGGGUGGAGCAGAUACGAAAGUAGGACUUAGUGAUCCGGUGGUAUAAAGUGUGAUUGCCAUCGCUCAACGGAUAAAAGCUACCCUGGGAUAACAGGCUUAUCACUCCCAAGAGUUCACAUCGACGGAGUGGUUUGGCACCUCGAUGUCGGCUCAUCGCAUCCUGGAGCUGUAGCAGGUUCCAAGGGUUGGGCUGUUCGCCCAUUAAAGCGGUACGCGAGCUGGGUUCAGAACGUCGUGAGACAGUUCGGUCCCUAUCCGGCGUGGGCGUAGGAUAUUUGAGAGGAGCUGUCCUUAGUACGAGAGGACCGGGAUGGACAAACCUCUGGUGUAUCUGUUGUUUUACCAAAGGCAUGGCAGAGUAGCCAAGUUUGGCAGGGAUAAACGCUGAAGGCAUCUAAGCGUGAAGCCCCCCUCAAGAUAAGAUAUCCCAUCUUCGGAGUAAGACCCCUUGAAGACUACAAGGUUGAUAGGCUUCAGGUGUAAGUGUGGUAACGCACUCAGCUGAGAAGUACUAAUAGGUCGAGGACUUAUCA
rnacentral:rRNA from 1 species